rnacentral:lncRNA from 1 species
AUGGCAUUUAAACAGUUAAUCUAAUUUAUGGCAAGUAAGGAUUCCACAUUAAAGACUCCUUCUACUUCGUCCUUUAAGCUUCACCACUUCAAAAGCUUUUCCCCAUCCCUUAUUAUUUAGCAAUAGUCUCCCUUUGUGCACUGGACAUACUAUGGCAGUUCAGGAGGCUGUGCCAGUUACAUGGCUCCUUUGCCAGCCCCCAUAUUGCUCAUUAAAUAAUUUUACUCCCAUCUAUACACACACAGCUGGUAAAGGGUGGCUUUGCUGCAUUCAGCUACAGCUACACUUCCAGAGCGAGCCUCGAAAUAAAAAAUCACAGCGUUACAAAAACGCUCAGCUCUCAUCACCGUGCACUUCCCGAGUCUCCGACUGCUCACACUACGUUGGCAAAGCUGUGAUGGAGCAGUACACCUGUGUCCCUUCUAGAAAAAACCCACAGUAGGCAAAAAACGUUUCAGUUCUGUUAAUACUCACUUCUCACUCAGUCUGCAAUUAAACAGAACCUUUCUUUAAAGAAAGGAUUCCCUAAAAUAUUUUACAUGCUUACAAACAGUUGUCUAUUUCAGAAAGCUUUACAAAUUCUUCCCUUUGCAAACAUUCAGCUGUGCAGCACCAGCGAAGAGCUCCGGGUACAGCAGAUGGUUAAAAUUCUGCAUCAUUUUUAAGAGCCUAAGAGAAAGCACUGCCUUUUUUCGGGGGAGGGCGGGGGUGGAGGAGAGGAGAGAAAAAAGCUGAGAACAGCAAUUUGCAGCCCCCUUUUUUUUCUCUUUUUUUUUUUUUUUUUUUUUUUCCUUGACAGCAGCAAGCUCCGCCUCAGUCUGGCCCUUCCUCCAACCUCUGCUAACCUAAAAACCAGCGCCAGCCUGGCAGCGGGCCAGGGAUUCAAAAGUAAACAUUAUCCUCCUGCCAUUUUUCACUGCUGUUUAUCAUAUCCUGAUCCCCUUUUUUCCUUGCCCCCCUCCUCCCGCCGCCCCCCCUCGCCAUUGCUGAAUUCCCCGUCUCCGCUCGCGGUCUGUCCAGCCCUGGCAGUCCCGCUCCGCCGCGCCAAGGCGAGCCUGCACUGCAGGGCGCGGUGCGAGCGCGGCUGCGGCCGUGCCCCGCCGGGCGCACCUUCCCUCCCGCGGCACGGCACGGCACGGGCUGGAAUGGGCUGGGACCCACCCGCUCCCCGCACAAUGCACUCGCCUCUCAGCGCUGCAGCUGCCGGCACAAACGCGGCUGUUGCCUCCGCGGCUUUCCCGUUUUCUUAUUUAAUUGUGAGGGGAGUGCUUAAAGACCAGAGCCAUCCAGGAGCGGCCGUGAGGGCGCCGCACGGCGCUGCACCUGACUCUUUGUUAUCCCUCAUCGCUCAUCCCCGGUCCCUUCCGCUCCGCGCUUCCUCCUCCCACCUUGCGCUGCUCCUCGUUCAUCAAGGCUGCAGUACGAAUUCUGGCUGUCACCUGCUGGGCGGCUCCAGCAAGCAGAAUUUACCCAGGCACAAAUCAGCCAGGAUCCUUCAGACACACCUGGAAACAAACCUCUGAACGGGAUAAAUCCAGAAAUCACAGGCAGUAUGCCUUCUGCAGUUAAAUGGGAGAGUAUUUAGAAAGAAAAUAGUUUUUCUAGAUGAAUGAGUUUGGCAAGAACUCAUUGCUAAGAGAUGGAACCCUAAAUUCCUUUUUGCACAGCACAGGGGACCUUGAGCCCCAAAAGGCAGCUGAGCCUUUGGCAGAGUAAGCUUCUACAUUGCAGCACAAUGAUGCCAACAGCAGGGACCCUGCACUGAGUGUGGGCAGGUGGCACCUUCCAGGAGGACACAUGGUAUGUUCUGGUGAAGAGAAAACAGCUGCCUGAAUAUAUGCUAGGCACAAAUGAAACUCUGAAACUCUGAUGAUAUGGGCAAGAUGUUGCUAUUUCAAACACUAAGAACAGCAUCUUCUCAAUGAAUGUUCUUGGCACACUGUCAAACCUGAAACCAGCCCUGCUCAGGGCAAGCUUGACCAACGAAAUUAUUCCAGGAGAAAAACAGUUCAAGUAGUCCAAACAAAAUCUGUAAAGGACUCGAGUAUUAUUUUGAAGGCAUUCUUCUUUUAUGGAGAAAUGAAAAUUCAAGUUCCUCCCAACAAAGUAUUUUUUUCAUUCUUGCAUUAGCUCAGCACUUAUAUUUCACCAGAAAUAUACUUACAAAAAUCUGCUAAAAUCACAUUCUGGAAUCCUAAAUUACCUAUGUGGAAGAAAUGUCCUAAAUAAUCUGCAACUGUUGGCUAAUGUGUGAGGUGAGCAUUUUCAAUGAAAAAAAAACCCAACAAAAACAAACAGAAGAACUUGAAUGGGAAAGCAGCUCUUUCGUUUUCCUACAGAAUGCUGGAUUAUUUCUCAUAAAAUUUGUAAUUUAUAAAAAAUUGUUUCUUUGGAGAAGGUACAACUCAUCCCACGCACUCUCUUAAUUAAGAAAAAAAUGAACCUGGUAAGUGAUUUAUUGAUGAAAAAGUAGGAAAAUUAGGAGUUAAACUUCCUACGUUCUCGAUGGACACUGUUAGAUUUGAAAGGUGAAAAGGCAAGUGGGAAAAACUUAGGAGAUGAGAAAGUACUGGAGCUUCCUUCUUAAUAUCAUUUCCAACACUCAGAUGCAGGUAAACCUCUGUAUAAAAGUUAUGUUCUUCUUAUCUAAACCUUGUAAUAGCAGCAUUCAUAUCUUCCAGAACAAGACAUACCCUAUUAGAAAGUAAGGGGUCUUGGCUGAUACCCAAGUAGAAAAAUAAAGGAAGAAGUGGGAUAAAUCCCCA